rnacentral:rRNA from 1 species
GAUGAACGCUGGCGGCGUGCCUAAUACAUGCAAGUCGAGCGAACAGAUAAGGAGCUUGCUCCUUUGACGUUAGCGGCGGACGGGUGAGUAACACGUGGGUAACCUACCUAUAAGACUGGGAUAACUUCGGGAAACCGGAGCUAAUACCGGAUAACAUUUGGAACCGCAUGGUUCUAAAGUGAAAGAUGGUUUUGCUAUCACUUAUAGAUGGACCCGCGCCGUAUUAGCUAGUUGGCAAGGUAACGGCUUACCAAGGCAACGAUACGUAGCCGACCUGAGAGGGUGAUCGGCCCCACUGGAACUGAGACACGGUCCAGACUCCUACGGGAGGCAGCAGUAGGGAAUCUUCCGCAAUGGGCGAAAGCCUGACGGAGCAACGCCGCGUGAGUGAUGAAGGGUUUCGGCUCGUAAAACUCUGUUAUUAGGGAAGAACAAACGUGUAAGUAACUGUGCACGUCUUGACGGUACCUAAUCAGAAAGCCACGGCUAACUACGUG